GGGGUUGUGGCUCAGUGGUAGAGUGCUCACCUUGCAUGUGCGAGAACUUGGGUUCUAUCCUCAGCACCACA
rnacentral:tRNA from 1 species